GAUGAACGCUAGCUACAGGCUUAACACAUGCAAGUCGAGGGGAAACGACAUCGAAAGCUUGCUUUUGAUGGGCGUCGACCGGCGCACGGGUGAGUAACGCGUAUCCAACCUGCCCACCACUUGGGGAUAACCUUGCGAAAGUAAGACUAAUACCCAAUGAUAUCCCACGAAGACAUCUGAAUGGGAUUAAAGAUUUAUCGGUGAUGGAUGGGGAUGCGUCUGAUUAGCUUGUUGGCGGGGUAACGGCCCACCAAGGCAACGAUCAGUAGGGGUUCUGAGAGGAAGGUCCCCCACAUUGGAACUGAGACACGGUCCAAACUCCUACGGGAGGCAGCAGUGAGGAAUAUUGAUCAAUGGGCGAGAGCCUGAACCAGCCAAGUAGCGUGCAGGAAGACGGCCCUAUGGGUUGUAAACUGCUUUUAUAAGGGAAUAAAGUGGGUCACGUGUGACUUUUUGCAUGUACCUUAUGAAUAAGGACCGGCUAAUUCCGUG
rnacentral:rRNA from 1 species